rnacentral:rRNA from 1 species
GAUGAACGCUGGCGGCGUGCCUAAUACAUGCAAGUCGAGCGAACGGACGAGAAGCUUGCUUCUCUGAUGUUAGCGGCGGACGGGUGAGUAACACGUGGAUAACCUACCUAUAAGACUGGGAUAACUUCGGGAAACCGGAGCUAAUACCGGAUAAUAUUUUGAACCGCAUGGUUCAAUAGUGAAAGACGGUCUUGCUGUCAUUUAUAGAUGGAUCCGCGCUGCAUUAGCUAGUUGGUAAGGUAACGGCUUACCAAGGCAACGAUGCAUAGCCGACCUGAGAGGGUGAUCGGCCACACUGGAACUGAGACACGGUCCAGACUCCUACGGGAGGCAGCAGUAGGGAAUCUUCCGCAAUGGGCGAAAGCCUGACGGAGCAACGCCGCGUGAGUGAUGAAGGUCUUCGGAUCGUAAAACUCUGUUAUUAGGGAAGAACAUAUGUGUAAGUAACUGUGCACAUCUUGACGGUACCUAAUCAGAAAGCCACGGCUAACUACGUG